rnacentral:rRNA from 1 species
CACUAUCGUUAACUGAAUACAUAGGUUAACGAGGCGAACCGGGGGAACUGAAACAUCUAAGUACCCCGAGGAAAAGAAAUCAACCGAGAUUCCCCCAGUAGCGGCGAGCGAACGGGGAGCAGCCCAGAGUCUGAAUCAGCUUGUGUGUUAGUGGAACGGUCUGGAAAGUCCGACGGUACAGGGUGAUAGUCCCGUACACCAAAAUGCACAGGCUGUGAACUCGAAGAGUAGGGCGGGACACGUGGUAUCCUGUCUGAAUAUGGGGGGACCAUCCUCCAAGGCUAAAUACUCCUGACUGACCGAUAGUGAACCAGUACCGUGAGGGAAAGGCGAAAAGAACCCCGGCGAGGGGAGUGAAAAAGAACCUGAAACCGUGUACGUACAAGCAGUGGGAGCACCUUCGGGUGUGACUGCGUACCUUUUGUAUAAUGGGUCAGCGACUUAUAUUCUGUAGCAAGGUUAACCGUAUAGGGGAGCCGCAGGGAAACCGAGUCUUAACUGGGCGUUAAGUUGCAGGGUAUAGACCCGAAACCCGGUGAUCUAGCCAUGGGCAGGUUGAAGGUUGGGUAACACUAACUGGAGGACCGAACCGACUAAUGUUGAAAAAUUAGCGGAUGACUUGUGGCUGGGGGUGAAAGGCCAAUCAAACCGGGAGAUAGCUGGUUCUCCCCGAAAGCUAUUUAGGUAGCGCCUCGUGAAUUCAUCUUCGGGGGUAGAGCACUGUUUCGGCUAGGGGGUCAUCCCGACUUACCAACCCGAUGCAAACUACGAAUACCGAAGAAUGUUAUCACGGGAGACACACGGCGGGUGCUAACGUCCGUCGUGAAGAGGGAAACAACCCAGACCGCCAGCUAAGGUCCCAAAGUCAUGGUUAAGUGGGAAACGAUGUGGGAAGGCACAGACAGCCAGGAUGUUGGCUUAGAAGCAGCCAUCAUUUAAAGAAAGCGUAAUAGCUCACUGGUCGAGUCGGCCUGCGCGGAAGAUGUAACGGGGCUAAACCAUGCACCGAAGCUGCGGCAGCGACACUAUGUGUUGUUGGGUAGGGGAGCGUUCUGUAAGCCUGCGAAGGUGNUGCUGGAGGUAUCAGAAGUGCGAAUGCUGACAUAAGUAACGAUAAAGCGGGUGAAAAGCCCGCUCGCCGGAAGACCAAGGGUUCCUGUCCAACGUUAAUCGGGGCAGGGUGAGUCGACCCCUAAGGCGAGGCCGAAAGGCGUAGUCGAUGGGAAACAGGUUAAUAUUCCUGUACUUGGUGUUACUGCGAAGGGGGGACGGAGAAGGCUAUGUUAGCCGGGCGACGGUUGUCCCGGUUUAAGCAUGUAGGCUGGUUGUCCAGGCAAAUCCGGAUAAUCAAGGCUGAGGUGUGAUGACGAGGCACUACGGUGCUGAAGUAACAAAUGCCCUGCUUCCAGGAAAAGCCUCUAAGCAUCAGGUAACAUCAAAUCGUACCCCAAACCGACACAGGUGGUCAGGUAGAGAAUACCAAGGCGCUUGAGAGAACUCGGGUGAAGGAACUAGGCAAAAUGGUGCCGUAACUUCGGGAGAAGGCACGCUGGUGUGUAGGUGAAGUCCCUGCGGAUGGAGCUGAGACCAGUCGAAGAUACCAGCUGGCUGCAACUGUUUAUUAAAAACACAGCACUGUGCAAACACGAAAGUGGACGUAUACGGUGUGACGCCUGCCCGGUGCCGGAAGGUUAAUUGAUGGGGUUAUCCGUAAGGAGAAGCUCUUGAUCGAAGCCCCGGUAAACGGCGGCCGUAACUAUAACGGUCCUAAGGUAGCGAAAUUCCUUGUCGGGUAAGUUCCGACCUGCACGAAUGGCGUAAUGAUGGCCAGGCUGUCUCCACCCGAGACUCAGUGAAAUUGAACUCGCUGUGAAGAUGCAGUGUACCCGCGGCAAGACGGAAAGACCCCGUGAACCUUUACUAUAGCUUGACACUGAACAUUGAGCCUUGAUGUGUAGGAUAGGUGGGAGGCUUUGAAGCGUGGACGCCAGUCUGCGUGGAGCCAACCUUGAAAUACCACCCUUUAAUGUUUGAUGUUCUAACGUUGGCCCCUUACCGGGGUUGCGGACAGUGUCUGGUGGGUAGUUUGACUGGGGCGGUCUCCUCCCAAAGCGUAACGGAGGAGCACGAAGGUUAGCUAAUCCUGGUCGGACAUCAGGAGGUUAGUGCAAUGGCAUAAGCUAGCUUGACUGCGAGCGUGACGGCGCGAGCAGGUGCGAAAGCAGGUCAUAGUGAUCCGGUGGUUCUGAAUGGAAGGGCCAUCGCUCAACGGAUAAAAGGUACUCCGGGGAUAACAGGCUGAUACCGCCCAAGAGUUCAUAUCGACGGCGGUGUUUGGCACCUCGAUGUCGGCUCAUCACAUCCUGGGGCUGAAGUAGGUCCCAAGGGUAUGGCUGUUCGCCAUUUAAAGUGGUACGCGAGCUGGGUUUAGAACGUCGUGAGACAGUUCGGUCCCUAUCUGCCGUGGGCGCUGGAGAAUUGAGGGGGGCUGCUCCUAGUACGAGAGGACCGGAGUGGACGCAUCACUGGUGUUCGGGUUGUCAUGCCAAUGGCACUGCCCGGUAGCUAAAUGCGGAAGAGAUAAGUGCUGAAAGCAUCUAAGCACGAAACUUGCCCCGAGAUGAGUUCUCCCUGAGACUUUAAGUCUCCUGAAGGAACGUUGAAGACGACGACGUUGAUAGGCCGGGUGUGUAAGCGCAGCGAUGCGUUGAGCUAACCGGUACUAAUGAACCGUGAGGCUUAACCUU